GCCAUCUUGUGGAAGAUCACUUCACUAUCGUGCAGUUUGAGUGCCAGGCACUUCAGAAGCUAAUUCUGGAGACCUUAUUUUUGCAAUGAGAGACCUCAAUUACAAGUUCCAGCCUGAGAUGUGCAAAAUGCUGGUAAUGAAGCUGCAAACCAUGUGAAAGCAGAGACGAGAUCCUUUGUGUAGCAGAGAGGGACUCCCGCUUCAAGCAGAAGAAAGAGAGCAGAGGGCAUCUUUCUGAUAAGAGCAGAUGAUGUGGGUCUAGGAAGGUCUGAGCUCUUGAUAAAGUGGAAAUGAAAGUGGUGCCUGAUGUUCCAGCUUCCCCUCCUGAGUUAAGGGGAUGAGCUGCACUUUUCAACCCCUGUAUGAGGUGCCUGUAGCUCAGUUCCCUCUGAAGCUGAUGCCUGUGAGAAUCAGGGAUGUGUGCUCUGACAUGCACAAAAUAGCCCCAGUCUACAGAUGUGUUGUCUCAUUAAGGUG